UUUAAAGAGAGUUUGAUCCUGGCUCAGGACGAACGCUGGCGGCGUGCCUAAUACAUGCAAGUCGAACGAACGGAGGAAGAGCUUGCUCUUCCAAAGUUAGUGGCGGACGGGUGAGUAACACGUGGGCAACCUGCCUGUAAGUUGGGGAUAACUCCGGGAAACCGGGGCUAAUACCGAAUGAUAGAGUGUGGCGCAUGCCACGCUCUUGAAAGAUGGUUUCGGCUAUCGCUUACAGAUGGGCCCGCGGUGCAUUAGCUAGUUGGUAGGGUAAUGGCCUACCAAGGCAACGAUGCAUAGCCGACCUGAGAGGGUGAUCGGC
rnacentral:rRNA from 1 species